GGACGCAUUGACUCGAUUGUUGC
rnacentral:siRNA from 1 species